rnacentral:rRNA from 1 species
GAUGAACGCUGGCGGCGUGCCUAAUACAUGCAAGUCGAGCGAACGGACGAGAAGCUUGCUUCUCUGAUGUUAGCGGCGGACGGGUGAGUAACACGUGGAUAACCUACCUAUAAGACUGGGAUAACUUCGGGAAACCGGAGCUAAUACCGGAUAAUAUUUUGAACCGCAUGGUUCAAAAGUAAAAGACGGUCUUGCUGUCACUUAUAGAUGGAUCCGCGCUGCAUUAGCUAGUUGGUAAGGUAACGGCUUACCAAGGCAACGAUGCAUAGCCGACCUGAGAGGGUGAUCAGCCACACUGGAACUGAGACACGGUCCAGACUCCUACGGGAGGCAGCAGUAGGGAAUCUUCCGCAAUGGGCGAAAGCCUGACGGAGCAACGCCGCGUGAGUGAUGAAGGUCUUCGGAUCGUAAAACUCUGUUAUUAGGGAAGAACAUAUGUGUAAGUAACUGUGCACAUCUUGACGGUACCUAAUCAGAAAGCCACGGCUAACUACGUG